UUUGUUUGCUAAUAUUAGGAUUGUUGUUUUUUGAAAAUUACUUAUUUAAAGAUUUUGAUAAUCGUUUUGGUAUUGUUAAAUUGAUUUUUUGUUUUUCAUUUGUUUUGUGUGUAUCUCUUUUGUCUAUUUUGAUAUUUCAAAUGCUAGGUGUGAUAAAUCCGAGUUUGCAGAUUUUUAUUUGGUAUAUUGAUAUAUUAUUUUUAAUAUUAUUAGUUUAUUUGAUUAUUCCAGUCAGUUUAAUAUAUACUUAUGUGACAUAUGAAGAUGAAAAUAUAUCCAACAGUUUGUUAAAAUUUAAAUAUUUUCAUUCAACAUUGAAAAAAGUAAAACAUAAAACAAUAAAUUUGUCUGAUGAACAAAAGUCUAAUUUGAUGAAACGUUUAUUUUAUGCUAGUGAAGAUUUAAUUGUAAAAAUGAAAAAUUAUAGUAAAAAAAUAAAAAAAAAAAAAAAAAUAAAAAUAGCGAAAUUUGUUAUAGGUUGUAUAAUUUUUUUACCUUUAUUAUGGUUUUGUUUUUAUGAAAUUUCAUUGCUGAUUUUUAAAAUACAUGGUGAUAUAAAUGAAGAAUUACAAAUUUAUAAUAUGGAUAAUAUAUUAAAAACGGUUAACAGUGAAACAUAUAGAGAGUCUGUUGAAGAUAGUGAUAAAUAUAUUAAUAAAAAUAGUGAUUUGUUUUUUAUUUUAAAAUUUAUUAAACAUUUAUUUAUUAAUAUAUAUGUUACUGGUAUGACGAUAGUUAGUUCAUUAUCUGCAUUUUCAAGUUUAUACAAUCCUUAUACUAACAUGAAUAAUUUUUUUUUUCAUGUAACUGUUAAAAAAGUAAAAAUUAUAGAAAAAAAAAUCACAUUUAUAACAAAGGAGUUAGCUUUAAAAAAAAAACUGCUAUUGUUAUGUGACCAUCCAUACUUAAUGAAUAAAUAUACUCAAAAUAAGAGGGUCAUACCGACUUUUAAUAAAGUAGACAUUUCUAGUAUAUAUUUAAAUCAUAGUGUUAGUAACCAUACCAGUUUUGGUGAUUAUAAUUAUUGCCUUAAUAAUAAUAUAAGUAACAUUACCUCAAGUACUGAUAUUAAAAAUAAUAAUGAAUUUGUAAAAAAUAAAUUCCAUUCGAAUGCUACAUUAUAUGAAGAUGACUCAAUUUACGAGUUAGACGAUUAUACAACAGAAACAGCAACUACAACUUCUUGUUAUAACGACUCUAGUACAUAUAAAAUAAAUUACAAUAACACGAUUUAUAACACUAAUUAUGCAUAUGAUAAAGACAAAACAGAAGGAAAAACAAACAAAACUUAUAACAGAUUAAAAGAAUUAAACGUGUCAAAUAACAAGUGUGACACAUAUCCGUGCAUGAAAAAUUGUGAUAAUAAUAAUACAUACAAAGAUGAACAUAAAAAUGGUAAAGUAAAAAAUGAUAUAUAUCAUCCAAAAGAUGAAAUAGAAUACAUAUGUUCCAAGUCAUAUAAAAAAUGCAAUUUAUACUUAGCAAAUCAAAAAUCAAUUUAUGAUGAUAUAUGUAGGACUGUGUUGAUGAAGCAACAGGGAGUAGGAGCAGGAGUAGGUGCAAAUAAAGCAGAAGAAGAAGAAAAAAAAAAAAAAAAAAAUGACUAAUAUAUUUCAUACAAAUAAAAAAAAGCAUAGAGAAGAGGAAGAGGAGGAG
rnacentral:lncRNA from 1 species